UACGGAUGUGGUGAAAUGGUAGACACUCACACUUGAGGGGUGUGUUGCAUUAUGCAGUGCGAGUUCGAGUCUCGCCAUCCGUAA
rnacentral:tRNA from 1 species